GCGGACUCCGCGGACAAGGCCAGGCCUAGCCUUGAGCUCCGUCGGGCAGGGCCGCCGGGAUUGGUGUCCGGCAGAGCGUGAGCCCAGCGGGCUGGAGUCGGCGAGCGGGAGUGAAAGAAGAAAAGCUAGAGAGCGAAGGCAAAGCCCGAGGAGAGAGGGCCGCGGUCGGCGGAGGAAUCUGACUGCACGGUUGCGUGCGCUCACUCCCGGAGGGCUCCCUCAGGCGGGCGGCUCCGCUAGUGGCUAAAGGCAAAGCAUUCCGGGGCGCGGCGCAUGAAGUUGAGCUUCGUCCCUGCUAGCCGCCGCUUUCUCCCCAAAAAUACAUCCUAGCCUUAAUGUUUAUGCCUCCAUUGCCCCAGUUCUUAUCUGUUUUGCUCAAUGUCUCAUAGCUACAAGAAGGCAAUUUCUGACGAAGCCCUCCGUCCCUUCCAAAUGGAUUAUUUUGGCGGGCUUCCACCCGGACAGUAUGCCACCCGAAUGACUGGACAAGUGCACGGGAGCGGCUGUCAUUUGCGGAGUGCGCCUUGCGAUCUAGGCGCCUCACAGCGCAAAUUAUCCAGUAAUUUCUCUGAAAUCGAUGCUGGUUUGUUUUCCCAAGGCAAAUCAGCAGCUUAUACAGACAUUGGGGCCACAAAGCCGGUGGAACAACGGGAGACGGCUUCCUGAGUGUCAGGUCCUCCAAGAUGAGCUUAAACUUCGGGUGGUGGGCAGGCUCGGUAGGCGGGAAAGGCCCGUGUCCAGAUGAAUGCAGUCCAUGUUUAUAUUGAUGAAAGACACGUAUACCAUUUGGUCCAGCUCAACCAUUCUUAACAAGUGCUGGCUGUGAGCACUGGUGUGUGUGUGCCUGCGUGCAACCAGCAAUGUAAGUGAUGACCAGCUGCAUGAUGCCUUAAUUUGAGUGGACAAAGUCGGUCAAGAACCACUUUCAGGCUUCUGGGUCUCCAAGUCUUUGUCUCCCUGUAUCCAAACGAGGCAUUCCAAGUUUGACAGCAUGGAACAUUGCAUGUCCGAAAUACCAACCGUGAAACUGGGUAAAAAGCUUCAGGAGGUGAUAUUGAUGUGUAUAGUUUAGGAAAUAAAACCCAAUACUUACUUCAAAGAACGUAAUUUGUGGCUUUUUAGAGAGAAGGAUACUUUGACAGUUUUCAUUUGUCGUCUACAUGUAUAUGGUACGUUUCAUUCUGCCUUUUAAUUAAUUUGGUAUUUUACUAUGAAAACUACUUUGUAUUAAUAAAAUAAUGUAUUUCCAAUGUUAUAAGUUGUGUUAUAACAGUUUCAAAAGCCAAAUAAACAAGAUGCAUUUUGA